rnacentral:lncRNA from 1 species
GAUGUAGGAAUUCUCCUGUUUAUAUUUUGGAAUGUAAUUGUCAUGUCUUUACUUUGAAUGUAAAUCCUUUUGUGUUGUAAAAAUUAAGUAGAAGAUGUAAUAUGUAGUGGAUGUAUUAUAUAUAUGUAUAAUUGUUAGUAUGACUAAAUCAUUUUCAAAAUGAUAAGUUAAGAUUUAUUAUAAAUAUAAUAUGACUCUUAAUCUUAAUGUUGUAUUUACGUAGUUUAAAGGCUUAUAUGUAGUUAGUU